AUAUGUGUGUGUGUGUGUGUGUGUAUAUGUAUAUAUGUAUAUACAUAUAUACAUGUAUACACACACACACACACACACACACACAUAU
rnacentral:miRNA from 1 species